GCCCUGGAUACCACAGUGCACGAUGCUC
rnacentral:sRNA from 1 species